UCCAGUACCAGAGAGAGACAAGGACAGUAAAACCGGUAGUGCAGAGAAACACAGAUCAGAAAGGAACAGAGAUAAAGACCGGGACAAAGACCCAGAGACCGCAACUGGCACACUAUUACUAGAGACUGGGACAUAGAGAGAUCGAUGAGGGUUAGGCAUGGGGAUGAGUCUAUAGACGGCCCAUUGAGCUCCUAGCUCAUACGCCUGGCCUCGUAUACCAAAGGCUGUUUGCUCAUGCCUACCUCAUGGUCAUCUAGGAUGGCAACCAUACUCCCGCCACCGACAGUAACGCUCCGUAGAUGGCAUAACCACAGCAGCCCGCUACACCAUUGCCCUUCCCUCCAGGGAGGGGUUAUCCCCCUGGUACCAGGCCCCCGAUAUCAUGCUUUCCUGUAAUUAUGGUCCCCUGGUACCAGCUGUUCUGGAAUCAUGCCCGCUGGGUGCCAUGCUGCCUGGUAUCAAGCCCCUCCUACCACCCCCCCUCCAGCUCACAUCUACCCAGCCUGGCUAGCACCUCCAGCUCUCAUCACCCAGCCUGCUGAGCACCUCCAGCUCACAAUCUGCCCAGCCGCUAGCAACCUCCCACUCACAUUCUACCCAGCCUGCUAGCAACCUCCAGCUUCACAUCUGCACCAGCCUGCUAUGGAGAACCAGAGAGGCGCAGUCACCAGAGGGAGCAUGGAGAACCAGAGAGGCGCAGUCACCAGAGGGAGCAUGGAGAACCAGAGAGGCACAGUCACCAGAGGGAGUACGGAGAACUGAGCUCAGGACAAUGGAAGGAUAGCCUUAAGAGAGACAACGGCCAGGCUAUGGCCAGAGAGCUCUACAGUGAAUACUCCAGCAUGAGGAGGAUUAGAGAAGGUUGGGGGGACUAUGGUGCUUCCUCUGAUAUGAGCUACAUAAUGGACCCAUCGUCCAGAGACUGGAGUGAAGGCUCAUUGAGGGGUAGUGGUGCUCCCUUCUCCCCAGACACAGAUGGGGAUGUUGAUGGAGAUCCUGUGGAGCUCAGUGUGGAGGACCUGGAGCUCAUAGAGGAGAAGAGAGCUGUUCUCGCUUUGCAAAAGGUUAAACGCGGAGCUAAGGACAUGCCUAAAACACAGACUGCAUACACAACAGCGAAGGGCAUGUCUAAACCGAGGAAGGCGAACAAUAGAACAUUCAACAGUAAUGUCGCGGACCAGUCGUCACGCAUAUGCCUACCUCUUAAACGGAGGGUGCUGGACAUUCUGAGUAAGGAUACCCCUGCCAAGCUGAAGAAACAAAACAAGAUGCAAGCAUUGGAUCUGAUGAUUAGAGCUCCCCUAGAAAAUGAAGAGGCCCGUCCUCUGAGACUGAGGGUUUUAAUGAACCAGCGACGCUAUCCCGACAAUGAGGUGGUCCCUGAUGAUGAACCGCAUAAUCCAACCAUUCAGAGGCUACUUAAUUCACUCAGGACACAGGAGCAAGAUAAAGCAGCCACGGGCUUCCAGCGCUUCCUCAAUGUCCUCAAUGAAGGGGUGGACCUCAACAAGCUCUCAAAGAUCGUCAACGACGAAAAUGGGUUACUCAUUGUGGGCGAGGAGCUACCACAAGUUUGGCCGACUCUGCCCGAGGGUCAUGUUGACUCCAGCAGUAGAUCCAAGUCUUCUCUAGUUGAGGAGAAGACGAAGGUGAGGCUUGAGGAUGAGCAGCGGCACGAGCAGAUGCAGACCCUGCUGGAGAUCGUUGGGCUGGACUUGGGGGUUGAGGAGUUGGGUCRGCUGACAGACAGGACCAAUGACAGGCUGUAUGGGAAGAUGGGAGACUURAAAAGGAAGGAGUUCGAGAAUGAGAAGGGGAAAAGAGAAAAGGGAAAGCGAGCCCUCAUUUAAACAUCUUAGUACUUCCUCAUUACCAUCAGACAGCGCCAGCCCCCUUCUAAACCAGCACUCAAACAUGACCGUUGAAUACAGCAGCUCUAGUGACAGGGUAUGGGCACGGCACAGAUACACAUGAGUAGAAACAACAAACAUCAGUCAAUAAUACAGUAUAAACAAGUCUAUAUACAAUGUGAGCAAAUGGG
rnacentral:lncRNA from 1 species